UACGAAGGGGGCUAGCGUUGUUCGGAAUUACUGGGCGUAAAGCGCACGUAGGCGGACUAUUAAGUCAGGGGUGAAAUCCCGGGGCUCAACCCCGGAACUGCCUUUGAUACUGGUAGUCUCGAGUCCGGAAGAGGUGAGUUGGAAUUCCGAGUGUAGAGGUGAAAUUCGUAGAUAUUCGGAGGAACACCAGUGGCGAAGGCGGCUCACUGGUCCGGUACUGACGCUGAGGAGCGAAAGCGUGGGUAGCAAACAGG
rnacentral:rRNA from 1 species